UUAACAGUUAUAUAUCUGAUGUCAUCAUGCUUUUACUCGAUCUGAAGUUCUGGAUAUUUCCUUCCGAUCAGAUGGAGUUUAUUAAAAUAUCACUGGCAAAAAAUUGGCAAAAGGCAUAUUUGAACUCUGCAAAGUGAAUCGUAAAAUGAAUUUUACAGCAACCUGGUUGAUAAUUCUGUCACUCUCUAGUUGAAAAUCAUUUCAAAACCCUUUCAGUUAUCUUCAUCUAUAGGUGACGAAUGCAAUAAAGCUCCAAAAUUUGAUAGUACUCUCUAGUAUCUAUUUUCUAUUUUUCAAUCAAAGUUCUCUUAUUAGGUGUUUUGUCUUCUAAUUAGUAUAUAAAGCAUUGGGCUUGUAUCCCAUCAGGCUUUCUAUGCUUUGUCUUUGUUGAUUUUGGUUUUCCUGCCCCUUGCAUACCCUCUCUCACUUUUCUUCCCCCACUAGCCCUCAGUUGGGUUCUGCUUCAUGUAGGAGUGACUGUUCUGCUACUCCUCCUCUUCCCCUCCCUGUAAGAUCUUCCCCAAAAGGUCCCCAGAGUUUCAUACAUGCUUCACACAUAAUCCCAACUUUCACACAGGAGAGGAAAUGUACAGCUCUAGCCUCCCGGGUCAGAGCUACUUCAAGCGAAGUUCCCCGUUGCCAGUUAGACAGGUUGGGUUUGAUUUCCCAAACUGGGUCUCUGAUACAUAAAAGCGCAAACACUUUAGUCAGUGUAUUCUGUGUUCCAAUCAGAUAUGUAGAAUUGUGGAUAUAUUGUACUUUCAAGUCAUAUUUUAUUUUUGUUUUCAAGAAUAAAACCCUGUUUCUACUGAAUUGUGAUAACAGUAUUUCUAAUAUUUCUUCACUUCUGCUUUUGAGAUCUCUCUGUGUAAGAAAUGGUAUAUACACAGAGAAAUAUGUUUUACAUUUUAUUCUGUAGCUUUCCUUCUGAGAUAGAGAUGGUGCAGUUUAGAAAUGUAUAAUGGUUAUGAGGUACAAGGAAGGUGUUGGCCAAAACCUGUCACACAGUCAGUGUUUAAUGACAAACCUUGGAGCAGGGACAAGCACUAUAUUCACUCCUAUUCUCUAUGAUCUGUGCAUAUGCAGCAUGCAGUUAUCUACGAAUAUGGUCCGUGCUGUGCCAUUUUACACUCCUGAGGUUCAUGUUAGUCCCUGGAGUCUUAGCACUUAGAGGAUGCUCAGCUUGUUCUCAGCAAUGCUCCUGCUCUUGCUUUUGACUGGGGACAUUGGAGGCAGAACACCAGGUCUUGUGUGUCCUGGGCAAGCACUUGUCACAAGAUAAAUCUUAGCCCCUACUACUCAUUAGAGUUCAUAGUCUUUAAUAUUUUUCCUGCCAUUCAAAUUUUACCCUUAGAGCUUGUAGUGGUAAACUUAAAGUUUUUGGACAGAAUUCUAAUGAGUUGGAUGAUUUCGGGAAAGUAUGUUUCUGAAGGGAGUCUGCCCACAGAGCUGUGAUCUCACAUCUGAAGGCAGGCCAGUGGCAGUUUUCUUCUACAGGUAUUCAGCAAAGGCUGCUUUCAUUUGUUCUUGAAGCUCAUUUAGUUGAUAGGCUGUUUUGAACUCCUAGCCUAGGUGUGGCAGUAGAGGAAGGCUGUGUUUGCAUGUCUGAAUAAGAAGAGCAGAGACAUCUGUAGCAAAGCCACAGGAAGGUACAGUAGCUUCACUGUGAGUUCUCUGCUUCCCAGAGCUUGGCAUCGGAUGGGUGAGUAGCCGUUAAUGUUCAGUCUCUGCUAACUGGUAAGAGAUUACUAAAAAUGUUAUAGAUAGCAUUUCUGUCUGACAUGAUUGGAUCAGUAGGGUCGAUAGACAGGGAGGGGGGAUUAUCCCAGGGAAGGAAAGGAGUCAGGAGUGAGUGUUAGAGACCAGGACAUCUACAUUGCUGCUUAAGAGUUGAGCAAGGCUGUUGUGCUGCUUUGAUUGUUUUUUGCUUGUUUGUUUCUUUUUUUGUUUUGUUUUGUCCAAUUUGAUUAGAACCUUGACAUAUCUGGGAAGAGGGAAUUUUCAUUGAGAAAAUGCUUCUAUAAGAUUGGCCUGUAGACAGGUCUGUGUGACAAUUUCUUGAUUAACUGUUAAUGUGGAAUGGCCCAGUCUUUUGGUCAGUGCCACCGUGGGCCAGUUGUCCUGGAUGUAUAAGAAAACGAACUGAACAAGACACAAGCAUGCCAGUAAGCAGCAGUCUCUUGACAUCUGCUUCAGUCCUGCCUUCAGGUUCCUGCUCAAGUUCUUCCCUGACUUCCCUCACCUGUUGUAUACGACGAAAUAAACCUUGCCUCCCCAUGUUGACUUUGGUUAUGGUGCUUAGUAGAGCAAUAGACAUAACUAAGACAGUUUUGAAAGACUGCUAACUGCAUAAUGGUAUUUUCCAUGGUAACAGCUCUGUACCAGGGCAUAAUUAGUGUUUGCAGUUGAUCAUUAGAUCCAACCAACUAGACUUAGUAGUAAAUUGAAUGCCAUAGGCUCCAUCACUAACUUAGAUGAAGGUUGGCCUUCAGCUUUGCAUGACUCUUCAUGUUUUGCUGAAGAGACGACCCUCAGCAGUAAGUACAGGGAUCAUAGGAUUUGGUGUGAACUCUUGUUAACAAGGACUUCUUAGUAGUACAUACUUGGAAGAGAAUAAAACAACCAGAAAUUAUUUUCACCUUGGUAUAGCAUUGGGAUGUUUAUUUGAAAUGUUUAGGUUUAUUUUGGUUUCCAUCCUGAAUCCAGUUAUUUGCAGAUACAGAUGGCAGAAGAUUCAAACGUGAGAGUGAGCCUCAGGAAUUCCCAUGGAAUAGCUCCACGAAAGGUCUGCUGCAAAGAACAUUCUUCAUCUGCAGUGUCAAGUCCCCCAAUUAUUUACUUUGCCUGUAAACGUGAUGCACCCACCCACCUUUACUUACUCACUGGCUCUAAAGGUGAAAUUUGCUUUUUUCUUUUUCUUUUUAAUGUCCAUUUCAUGAGAAUUAUGUUAAAACGUUUUCCUUCUACAACAAAACUUAAGUUAUUUUGAUCUUCUGAUAGCUCUGGAAUAAGGCAGUGUUUCAGAAGCCAUGUGGCUGUAGGAUGGAAGCUGUGUAAGUGUAAUUGAAUGUAAAUGUCUCAUCAUGUCUCAUUGUUUUAAAGCCUUUUGUAGUUGCUAUUUCUUGCUUGAGAAUCCCCAGCCCAUAAAGCCUUAGAGGAGCAAAGACAGGCAGAUCCUGGAGAUUGGCAGCCAGCCAGUCGAACUUGAGAGCUCCAGGUCCAGUGGCAUCCGAUCUGAAGGGACUAAGAAGAGUGGAAGAAGAAGACAGUGACAUUGACCUCUGGCCAGCACACAGGUUUGUGCACCCACAUGCUUGGGCACAAAUACCCACCCAUGUAAUUCUAAAAGAAAUUAAAAUGCAUACUUG
rnacentral:lncRNA from 1 species